UACAUGCAAAUGUGGCCACCCUCAGGCAGAGGGCAGGCAGUACUUCAGAGGCAAACAGGCUACACAUCUACUGCAGGCUGGCAGACUAAGUGAUAGCUGGACUGGAGCAAGUAGGCUGAAAGCAUGAAGGACGGAGUGAGUAGCUUUCCCCACCAACGGGUCCCAGCAGCCUUUGAUGAGUCAUCCCAGCAUGCACUCUGCUAGUGAUGUCACAAUCUACUUAGAGCUUCAUAUGGCAAAAAUUAUACAUAGCUGCCAACUCUGCCAGUCCCCAGAGUACAGUACCAGAGCCUUCAUCUACAGGAAGUGGACACUGAUACAUCUGAUUGGUUCAAUCCAUCACUGUACCUGGCUCAGCUGAAAUUGUCAAUUUGUUUAUUUUAAUCAGCAUAAAUGAUUCAAUCUAACAAUACAAAAAUAUAAACUGGAAGGCUUUCCAAAAAUGCAGGCGACUGAGACGGGAAGCUGCUUCAUCUCCAUAAUUAUUGAAAACAUCCUGCACUCUUGCUCUGUAUGGGAUUAUGGGGAAAUAUAUCAGAAUGAAGGCAUGAAGGAAAUCUCUAUGGCAACUGAAAUCAAAGAUGACAAGACUGAUUUGGUGACAGCUGAAGCAUCCUGACAGUUAUGAAGGAUGAGAAUCCAAAUUGGAAGUAGUAACUCAGGAGGACGUACAUGAAACCAAUUUGAAAUCAAUGUUCUCAGGGUCAGUCCAUCACGCUUUGAGCUUCUCAUGUUACACAAGACACUCAUUUCGCUUGUCAAGCAAUCAUGAGAAGAUUAACAAGAGCUGAUGAUCAUUGCCCAAGAGAUGAAAUACCACCUGUGUAUGAAAUUUCAUGUUCAUCUGAUAAAACAUACUUUAGACUGACUGGCAGAACAUUAAAAGAAAAUGCAACUGCUGCUCCAGGCUCAACUCAUCUUGACUAAAAUACAUGAAAGGCAAGCGUUGAUAAACAAAACAUUAAGACGGUAUUUGUGUAGAGGGGGAAAAUGCUCUAGGGUUUGAUUGUGCUCCAAAUAAAAUGAUUCUGUCAGAAGCAUGGCCGGGCCAAGCCCUCCUCUUCCCUUUUGACUUUAGCACCUGUUUCUUUAGGGUAUCCCUGAAGCAGGGAGGGCUCCAGACAGAUAUCCUGGAUUAAUACUCUGGCAGGCUUACCUUCAGCUGACACCACCAGUCUCAGUGCACUGACUUUGGGGUUUAGAGAAGGGCCCAUGGAUGACUAUAAAAGUGUGAACUCGGCUGCUCUGUUCUACAACAGCAUAGAAAAACUUUCUACCUAUAAAUCACGGGUCAAGGAAAGAGAAGGAGAAGGAGAAGAUCACCUUGGUACUACCUAACAGGAAGUUACUAGAUUACAAGACAACCAUAUCAAACCU